GAGGAAGUAAAAGUCGUAACAAGGUUUCCGUAGGUGAACCUGCGGAAGGAUCAUUAUUGAAAUUAUAGGCAAAGGUUGUAGCUGGCCUCUCGGGGCAUGUGCACGCCUGAGCCCCUUAAUCCACACACACCUGUGAACCAAUUGUAAGGGCCCCCUGAAAAGGGCCUUUACGUCUUAUUCAUCAACCCAUUGCAUGUCUCAGAAUGUAAACAUAUGUCCUCGCCUUAAAAAGCGUUGAUAAACUUAUACAACUUUCAACAACGGAUCUCUUGGCUCUCGCAUCGAUGAAGAACGCAGCGAAAUGCGAUAAGUAAUGUGAAUUGCAGAUUUUCAGUGAAUCAUCGAAUCUUUGAACGCACCUUGCGCUCCUUGGUAUUCCGAGGAGCAUGCCUGUUUGAGUGUCAUUAAAUUCUCAACUCCGAUCGAUUUGUUUCGACCUCGGAGCUUGGACUUUGGAGUGUGCUGGCGUCGGUCGGCUCCUCUCAAAUGCAUCAGCGGAAUCUAACGUUUCGGACGUCAGUGUGAUAAUCACGUUGCGCUGUCAACCGAUCCUGAAAGGCCUGCUCAUAAUGGUCUUCGGACAACUUCAUAUCAAAUUUGACCUCAAAUCAGGUAGGACUA
rnacentral:rRNA from 1 species